CUCUAGUUACUACUGUGAAUCCAAGUGUGAGUUAGGCUCAGUGCCUGCUACAUUAUCUGUUGGGAUAAACUAAAGAGAACCAGACAUAUUGCCCUGCAUAUCCAUGGGCACCUACAGCAGAUGCAUGAACAAGUACUGUAGGAGCUCCCGGGAGAGCGCUGCCAUCCUCUGCUUUGUGGGUGGGCAGGAGGCACAGCUGUGAGCAUUUGCCAGCAGAGGCAUGGAUAGAGCCCCCAGCUGUUCAUGUUCCUGCUUAUGAUUGGGGCCAAGGGAAGACCUUUGGGAUUUCCUUCUGGCACAAGGAAGAUUAAAUUUACUGUCCCCUUAUGGUUGGACGAGAACAUGUGACUACUUUUGGUUAAUGAGUUGUGAGAAGAAUUGUUUUAUGUCACUUCCAGGACAAAGAAUUUAAUUACCAAAGAGUCUCAACAGUACACUCUUUACAUGCUAUGGUGCCUGUCAACAUUGAAG
rnacentral:lncRNA from 1 species